rnacentral:snoRNA from 1 species
ACUUUAUGAUUUGGGAAUUGAGCUAGCUUACCAUUAAACCUCUCCCAAGCUUCAAACAAUGGUUCUCCAUUUAUUUGUCAAAAAUUUACAAUCUCAUCCCUCUUUU